AACCGGUCUUCACCCGAACUUCUACAGGAAGUAGACGUCAUCUGAGCUUCUACAACUAGUGGCCUUCAUCCGAGCUUCCACGACAAUCGAUCUUCACCCGAACUUCUACAGGAAGCGGACGUCAUCCGAGCUUCUACAACUAGUGGCCUUCAUCCGAGCUUCUACUGUAAGCGAAUUCUAUCUGAGCUUCUACUGUAAGCAAAUUCCUUCUAAACUUCUAUUGCAGGCGGACUUCAGUCGAGAUUCUACAAUAAGCGGUCUCCAUCCGAACUUCUACAGCAGAUGGAUUCCAGAUGAACUUCUACAAUAGACAGACCGC
rnacentral:lncRNA from 1 species